CUCAACAGUAGUCUUAUCAUGGAAACACGGCAGUCUAUCAGAAGACCUAUUGGGAAGAGCUAGGAGAAGCACGUGCUUACAAAGCAGCAGUCCCAAGCAUCUGAAUUUUCCAAAAAACUUCAGCCUUGUCAAUCAUCGAUGUCGACCAGGUUGUCACGAGGUCAAACUGAAAGUUAGGUAUGCUGAGAUCAAAGUUGAAACGGUAGUCGUCGGCUGCAGGAAAAGCCCAUUCCCAUCGAACGCACGAAGCGUUUUCAUCCUUGGCCAGGGAUACGUAAGGCAAUGCGUAAACGGCUAUAAACCAAUCAUGGCGUACCAGGCAAACGUACAGUAUGAUGACGAUGACAAACUUGUUUUUAAACAGGGCAAAGGCGUGCUGAUUGACUGCAUGAAGGCAGAUUAAUAUCAAGUCGAAUACAAGAAAGAUUAUUCACUUCAACAUUGAUAUAGUUAGGAAGCUAUUGAAAUUAGACUAUUUUUUAUGCCAAAUUACGUAUUUGUUCGACGAAAUCUACAAACUUGUAGCGUAUACAAAAAGUUACCAAAAUUAUUUAUGUAAGACAUCUCUGCAUUAAAAAAUGACAUCGAAACAA